rnacentral:tRNA from 1 species
GCCUUCCUGGUGUAGUAGUCGGCAUGCUGGUCGCGUACUCCAGAGGCCCGUGGUUCGAGUCCUGGCGAAGGCG